rnacentral:lncRNA from 10 species
GGGGAGGCUGAGACAGGAGAAUUGCUUGAACCCUGGAGGCACAGGUUGCAGUGAGCCAAGAUCGUACCCUGUGCUCCAGCUUGUGUGACAGAGCGAGAUUCCAUCUCAAUAAAAUAAAACAAAACAAAACAAAAUAAAAUACCCAAUCUCAGGUAUGUCUUUAUCAGCAGCGUGAAAACAGACUAAUACACAGGGGCUCAAGACCUCUUAAAGGAGGAUUUCGGGGUCUGGUGUUGUGGCCUCCAGCCCAGGGCAGCCUUUUCUCUCUCUCUCACUGUGGGUGCCCUGCAUCCCUGCAGCUGCCUACAUAGCAAGUGACCUGGGGUUUACGCCUUUCUCCUGACCUAAAGCUUUUCUGGGCCUCCACCUGUGCCUGGGCUAUCUCGAGAGUCUUCUAAACCCUCCCUUCCUUUCUUUUUUAGGCCAUUGGCUGUUAUUGUGAUUUAAAUUAUAUCAGCAUUUGUCUUCCAUUACAAAGAAAUUUGUACCUACUGGGUCAUUUUAUUUUUAUAUUUUUUCAUUAGAAUAUUAUAUAUACAUAUAUAUUUUAUUUCAAUUGCCAACAAAUGGUUUUUCGUUACGUGAUGAAUUUUUUUGUUUGUUUGAGACAGAGUCUCACUCUGUCACCCAGGUUGGAGUGCAGUGGCGCAAUCUUGGCUCACUGCAACCUCCGCCUCCAGGAUUCAAGCAAUUCUCCCACCUCAGCUUCCCAAGUAGCUGGGAUUACAGGCGUGCACUACCACGCCCAGCUAAUGUUUUGUAUUUUUAGUAGAGACGGGGUUUCACCAUGUUAGUCAGGUUGGUCUCAAACUCCUGACCUCAAGUGAUCCUCCUGCCUCGGCCUCCCAAAGUGCUGGGAUUACAGGCGUGAGCCACUGCACCCGGCCCAAGGUAGUUUUUAUACAUAAAUAGAAAUCCAAGGGGAGAAAAUUCACCCUUAACAAACUGCCUUCCCUUUGGGGUAGAAGUGAGAAGGCAGACAAACCUCGGCUAUGUGCCCCCCAUAAUUAAAUUCACAAAGAGAAUAAAGGAAGAGGACGAUAGAGCAGCCCAGGCAAUAAAGAUAAAAGUUACCCCUCUGGACCUGCUCUCAGGAUUGGCAGACAUUGUUCUAGUCUCCUAGAUUUGGUGGCAGCCAGCAGGCCUUGGUGACAACUCCUGCCCCAAGUGAAUGAUGUUCUCUGCUGUGGCUCAGUAGGAAGACACUUCCCCAGGGAGAAGCCAGAGCUGAGCAAACUGGAUCCCAAUCUUGGUUGGAGUCCUGACCUGGGGUAGCUGCUCCUAGUGUGACCUGCUGGUUACGGGAGUGCACUAAGGGCUCGGGCAGACUCUAGCAGCGUUGCCACUUGCCAGCUGUCAUCUCGGGCAAGAUAGGUGACUUCAAGCCUUGGUUUCGCAUCUGCAAACUGGGAGCCUCUUACCCGAGCUGUGAGUCAGCUGUUGUGGGGGUGGUGGCCUCUUACCCGAGCUAUGAGUCAGCUGUUGUGGGGGUGGUGGCCUCUUACCCUCUUGCGGUGGCAACCUCCAAGCUGUGCAUUUGUCCUGCAGGAGGGCAGUGGUGGCCUUCGAGAUAGUGCCUUUAUCGUCUUUAAAGUCUUUGGGUUAAAAUGGUGAGAGCUGGCAGGGGCAGCAGAGGGUAAGGAAGACUCUUUUGAAGAUGGAUGGGUGAACCCCAAAUAAGGGAGCAAUGCAAGACUCAAGAGAACAAAAAGCAUACGGCCCAGGAAGACGGGGUCUUGGUUCCUUGGUAUCCCCUGGAACAGUGCCCAGCCCUGAGCCAGCAGUCAGCAGUUGUUAGGACCUGAGCCCCGCGUGCUGGGCGGUGCAAGGCUGUGUGGUCAGCCUGCCUGUCCACAUGCGUGAGGGACAGAUGGACACGGCCAGAAUAUGGGGCAGCCCUGGCCCCAGUAAGAGAAGGACACAGAGAAGAAGGGUGCUCCACAAGCAGGAAGACAAAUGAGACGUGGUCAUACCUCCAUCCUCCCGGACAGCAGACGGUGCCUGGAGUUUGGGCAUUAGAAGUGGGAGGCAGCCAGGUGGGAGCCCACAGGAGGCAAGUCGGACAGAGCCAACAAGGAAGGAACAAUGAAGGAUCCUGGAGAAUAGCAAGAAAAAAUAAUGUGCCUACAAAAAUCCAGAGUUGGGGCCGGGAGAAAUGGGAAGUGAUGGAGAAUCAAUGUCCGUAUUUGUCAAAGUCAGU